UUGCAGUUUCCUCCCUACCUCCCCUCCCUCUCCUCCUCUUUCUUUUCUUGGCGUCAUUUUAAUCCUUCCUCCGUGCUGAGAGGUACAGUAGAUAGACGCAGAGUAGAGAGAGAGUGAAAGAAAGAGAAAAAAGGAAAUACAGAAAGAAAAGACGUUUUCAGUUUCUCCUCGUCCCUCCUUAUUUCUUCAUACCUGUCACUCCUUCGGCUUGUCUUGUUCUUUAUUUCUUCUUUCUCUCAUUCGUUUGUUCUUUCCUUCCUCUUCCUCUGAGGUUUUAUAGAGUCAGAUGAGAGAUGGGAUGUGGAAAUUCCUCACCAAACACCACCACCAACAACAACAACAGCAGCAGCACUGCAGGUCGUGCUGAGUCUUCAUCAAAGGUAUCAGAAGAGUUCGUGCCAGAAGACGACAAAUGGCAGAACUAUGGAGGUGUGUAUGUGGGUUUUCCUGCAGACCUGAGCAACAUUCCUCAAGUACAGAUUGGAUCACUCAGGGAGAGUGAGAGAGACUCGUUGUCCCUCAGGAAGCCGCUGUGGGGGAACGGACUCUAAUUUUAAUGAAGAGCCAGGUGCUACAGAAGAAUGAUGUGGCAGGAAGGAGUUUGUCGAGUGAGAGGAGGAAGAAGAAGAAGAAGAAACCCUCCUGACGUUCUUCAGGUCCUCAGUGUUGUCAUCAGGAACCCACCAAGUCUCAAAUGGGAAACAGCAGCUCCCAGUGGAGCCAAUCUUCUCUCUCAGCGUCCUCUGUGAGGACUUUAAUGGGAUCAGCUGGUUUUACUGACUGUGGAGCCUUUUGUGUCGACUAACUUGUUAUGCUGUUAUGGAAGCAGAUGUCAACCUGGACUCAGCCUUAUAAAACAGUGAUAGUUUGUUGUUUACAAAGAUGAAGGCGUUUUGAUCCUUGCAUGAAGAGCCAAGAGACUGCAGGUUUUUAUUCCAGCCAUAGACUUCAUUUGGCCUUAUUGGCUGCAUGUUGUGUAGCUGCUUAAUGAUGUGCCAGCAACAGAUGUUACAGUGAAUCUCUAUCAGCUUAUUAUCACAAAAUGGCAGAUGGAGAGGCGGAAGCUGUGGUAGCUCUGCUUGUUGAGGGCGAGAAGCCCUAAUUUAAUGUCUGAGAAAGGUGAAUGUAAAGCAGGACAACAUGUAAAACAUAUUAAAGGAGGCGUCUGGUGAUAUUCGGUCAACAAAUCCCAUAAAAAGACCAAAACCAACAAUGACUUGAUCCCACUAAUAUGUAUUGUGUGUGCAUCCAAAGCCUGAUAUCUUAUCACUGUCAAAAAACUGACAUGAUCCACACUGUAGUUUAUUUUGAUUCAAUCCCACAUACACAGUAUUUCUUCCUGUUUGAGUAACGUUUGAUUAAAAACUACAGUUCCCAGCUGUUUUAGGAAAUUACUGAAACUAUAUAUUUGUGACCCGUUUUUAAAGAUUUACGUCUUCAGUAGGAACCAAUGGGCUUGGAGCUGAGAGCCACAGACAGGGUGGGGAAGUCGGACAGGAAGUGUUUGUCUUUUCAUAGGAUUUGUUGACAAUAACAAAAAUAUGGAAUAUAGCCAGCCUUAUGUUUUCAACUCUCCUUUAUAUGCUACUAUCACUCAAGCAAGACAGCUGCAAGAUGUCCUAAGAUGAAUUUAAAGUGUGCAGAGCUAUGUGAAGGACAUUUGCUUUGUUAUAAUAAUAAGAAACUUUGUAAACAUUCAGAAAAAUGCUCUAAAUAAAGUGCUUUACAGUGUAACAGUAAUACAGGCAGGCAGACCUCACCUGUAGUCUGGAUGAUGAAAACCUGCAGACUCUUGGCCCCCCCAGGACACACACUCUUCAGUAAGUGGCUCCUGCUGUGAGGUCAGUGAAUCGUCUUCUCUUGAGGGCGUUUGCACGGAUAAGAUAUGAAAGUAGCUGAACCAUCAUUUACGUUUUGUGCUCAAGGUGAACCCACCGGUGAUGCCAGAAUCUUUCCCAAGGAAAACAGCUAUUAGUUGCUGAGGAAGUUGCUAAAAGUAACCAUAUUAUAUCGUACACAUGCGUAUACUGUAGGCUGCAGCCUCUGAUAUAAGUUGAGGAUUUAACACUGCUGCUAAAACGUUGCUAGAUUUGUAAAUUAAGUUUCAUGGGAGAAAAGUUAAAAUCUAAAUCUAGGACACAAAGUUGACAGUGGCCUUGUAUAUGUGGACUAAAGUCCAAACAUCCUUUCGCAUGUUGCUUGGCCUCAGUGCAACAUAAAGCUCUUCUCGGUUAUCUAAAUGUAUAUUGUACUGCGUUGUAAAGUCUGUUCAAAUUCAGCCAAAUAAGCCAUAAUCUCUAAUUAAACUCAAAAGUCUUCAGGUUGUAGCAGCAUCAAUCAUUUGAUUCAUCAUCAAAAACCAAUCAACCCAUGAAAUUCAGCGAUCAGGGCUCAUUAGUUAAAGGACUUUUACACUCCUGCCUUCUCAUCACAUCAGUCCUUAUCUGCUGUACUAUAUAUUUAACAUGAUUAACAUUACAUAUUUAAUAUCAUUCGAGUUCUUGAAAGAAAAAAAGAAACACUGGAUAUAAAAAUCUUGUUUCAUGAUGUGGUACAGGGUAUUUCUGCACACACACAAAAAAGGCACUUGAUUCCACCAUCUUGAUGCUGAUGUGUUUUUGCUUAUUGUAGGCGGAAGUGAAAAAUUGAGGAAAAUAUGGAAAUCUGCAGUUUCAAAAAGUGUUUAUGACGAUAUCAUAGUUAAGGUGAAAGCAAGUUUAUUUUGUUUAAUUUGUGUAAAUGUGUAAUUUGGCUUACACUGAGACCGAGGUCUUAAUACUGGACCAGAUCUGUUCUAAAACAAUCCGUGUAUCAUUCGUUCUUUUCAUGUUCAAUUGGGAAUCCAAAAUCGGAAAAUGAAAAAACCAUUCGUUAUGUCGUUAUUCAUUUACGAAUCCAGCACAAAACAACAAAUAACGGCUUGUUUUUCGUACUGUGAGUUUAUGCAGAAGUCAAAAAUAGGAAAUGAUGUGUGAUUUGUGUGACCAGGAAGUUUCUGACUUCUUCGUGUGUUGCACUUGAUAAACUUAUAAACUGAUAAACUACCUGAUUUAAUGUAAUGAAUAUUGAGAAUAUGAGCUUGAACAUCAAUAUAAGUGUUUUUUUUUAAACAAAGUAUUUUGGAAUUUGUCACGUUAAAAGUCUUCACUUGUGUGAACAGUAAGUAUAACGUUGCCAUGGAUACAGUGAGUCAGACUGUGGGCAGCAACAUGAGCCCCGUUUUACAUUUGUUAACAUUUUGGAAAAUUAAGUUUGCCGAAUUAACUAUUAACAGUUAAUUUUCUGCUGUAUAGUCUUGGAUGUACAGACAACUAUCACUGAAUUACUACUUUGAUACUGAAGAAAUCUUAAAAACCGGUGGAUUCUUAGGCAAGUUCUGAAGCGUUCCCAUUUCUGUCCCAGUACACGCAUACAGUAAGUUACACUGUGUGCUGCAAACUGAGACUCGUUUUUUAUUUUCCAAAAUACUUUGUUGAAAAACAAAAACAUUGAAGGUAACGUUCAAGCUCAUGUUCAUAACAUUAAGUCAGGUACCGCCAUCGCCCAAGUGUAUUUGCUGCAAGUUUAUCAAGUGCAAGACACGAAGAAGUCAGCAACUUUUUGACUUGAGCAUAAAAUCGAAAGUACGAAAAACAAGCCUUAUUCGUUUGGAUUGGUGUUGGAUUCAUAAAUGAAUAACGACCUAACAAAUUAUUUUUUAAUUUUCUGAUUUUGGAUUCCUUAUUUAAUAUGAAAAGACCGACUGAUACACGGAUUCAAAACUAAUACAGUAAUUCAUAAGGUUUAUGUGAAUUAAAGGAGUUACUUAUUCAGUAUUGCACUCCUACAGUAUAACACUGCUGGACUUGUGAUGGACAGUUUAAAAACAAAAACAAAACCUUGAUGCAGCAGAAUCAGAGAUUUCGUCUUUUUUAUUUCAUGCAUUCUUCUUCCUUGUCAAAACCUGCCGCCUACAUUACCCACAAUGCAACUCGACCACCGACAAUUUGGUCUGAGUUUCGUUUGUGUUAUGCUAGUAGCGGCUAAUGUAGCCUCGAGCCGCUAGCCUGCAGCAGAGAUGAGGAGCGAGCUACAGAGGUCUGGUAAGCUCACUUCUUUCUAACUCCAAACCUACAAAUCUUUUUAAUUUUCAAACUUGUAGUCUUCAGACCCACUGACACUGACUCAAGUGACAUCACUUAAGGCAAUUUAAUGUUAUCAGACGUUACGCAGCUCCCUCUGAAGCCACAAAAGGCUUCAUACAACUUUUUUCACAUAUGCAGUAGUACUCCAACACCUGUAAACAGACUUCGAUGUGUAAAAUCGGUGGAGUUCCCCUUUAAGUAAAUGGUCUGUUCUUUGUUCAUUUGUGCUGUUUCAGUGAUUAUCACCUGCUCAGGUGGAUUUUGUGCCUGUAAAUGUUUUUCUAGAGGCCUGUUUCUUGUUUUCUGUGUUUUUUUUUUGUUUGUUUUAUAAUUGCUAGAGGAAAGUAAAAUAGUUUCCCCCCCCGAA